CUAAAAUACACUGGUGGUUGCUGUAUUCUUUGAAAAAUGUGCACAGGAUGGCCUCCCGUCUGAGCAUUCAUCCAGGUUCUCUCUUCCAAGCUAAAGAAGACUUCUCAAGUUGGAUAUCUCAGUAAUGGGCUCCUGACUCCAUCUAUGCACUUUAGAAAUGUUGACAUUCAGAACUUAAGGUCACUCUGCUAUGUUGGAUGACAGGGAGAGUAGUGACUCAUACUCUGCCAUAAAUCUGAGGAAUGUCAAGAAAAUUCAGAGGAGUUCUUCAAAUGGAGAUCAAAAGCAGAAACUUUUUGUAGACUUACGAAGUACCCAGAAACAUGAUGAAAAUGGCUUAUGAGGCAGAGAGCCACAUUUAAACAAGGACCUGUAGAAAGAGAACAUUGCUGUUAUGAGUAAUGCUAAUUCUCUGGUAGCUUUGGAAAAAAAAUCAGGAGAAAAC
ensembl:lncRNA